rnacentral:rRNA from 1 species
UGGCCGUAAACGAUGUGGACUUGGUGUUGGAAUGGCUCCGAGCUGCUCCAGUGCCGAAGGGAAGCUGUUAAGUCCACCGCCUGGGAAGUACGGUCGCAAGACUGAAACUUAAAGGAUUGGCGGGGGANCACCACAACGCGUGGAGCCUGCGGUUUAAUGGAUUCAACGCCGGACAUCUCACCAGGGGCGACAGCAGAAUGAUGGCCAGGUUGAUGACCUUGCUUGACAAGCUGAGAGGAGGUGCAUGGCGUGUGACUGU